UCUUUUUAGGGCCGCACCCGCAGCAUGUGAAGGUUCCCAGGCUGGGAGUGGAAUCAGAGCUGUGGCUGCCAGCCCACACCACAACCACAGCAGCGCUGGAUCCAAGCGGAGCCCGUGACCUACACCACAGCUCACGGCAAUGCCAGAUCCUUAACCCACUGAGCAAGGCCAGGGAUCGAAUCCACAUACUCAUGGAUACGAGUCAGGUUCAUAAUCGCUGAGCUACAAUAGGAACUCUGACACACUGCUCUUUCUUUUUCCAUCUGCAUCUCUUCAAGGAGAUGGGUAUUUACAGACAACUUCAGCAGCAGCGCCUCGGGGUUCACCAUAACCUGCUCUGGUGCACACUUGCUCGUUUAGGCUGAGACAUUGCAGAGAAGUUAAAACAGCCUGAAGAUGAACAUGACAGAGGGUAUAAUCCUCCUCAAGCACCACCCCUGCUCCUGAGAAGCUUUGAGCUGGGCUUCUCGGGGGUCACAGAUCUUUCUGGAAUGCAGGCAUCUCUUCACUGGGUCUGGAGUCACCAAGGACCAUGUGCACAGUGCUUUAUGCUCUGGGCAACUCAGGGGCAGAGGGAAGACCUAUGUCCAUGGGGCAAGGACUUGCACAUGAUGUCACAGCAUCCAUGUGGCCCAGAAGCAUCCUGGUGGACUCCUUCCACUGUGACACCAGGCCCCGCAGCAUGCUCCCCGCCCUCCCCCUCCCCCUCCCCCGGUACAGAACCAGCUCCACAGACUCACUCCUCCUCCGGCCUCGGCACUCAGACCAGCCAGACCAGUGGUCUCCAACCCGAGGAAACAUCAACAGCACCGUCCAGGCAGGAAAUAACUUAUGGACAAGUAACACCUAUGCGAUGUGUUCAUUGAUAAGUUACGUACCAGUUUUACGCUAUUGUAUUACAUAUUCACAAAACAGUACCCUAAAAUAACAAAGCAUGAAAAAGUGGUUUUGACGUCUUCUCACUCUAAUGGACUGUCUGAGCAUCGCUUCCAGCUCACAGGUAACUGCUCUCUGCACUGCAUUUUGCUGCAGUGUCCACGGGGCAGAGCAGCACUCCCGCCACCCCCAGGGCCCCGGCGCCAGGCUCCUUGGGGUGACCUUCCUGCCUCCGGACCCCCGAUUCUAUUCCCUAGGCUCCCAAUACUUGCUGCUCUGACACUGCCUGACCUGCCAGGAACACACUUCCUUCCCUUCUGACCUGAAGGAUGUGGAUGUGGGCUUCUAGAUGCCCUGGGGUUCCCGUUCUGAGGUCCACCCUGUAACCAGCUCUAGGUGCUCGUUCCCACGGCCCAGAGGGACGGGCUGCUGACCUCUAGGUCAGUAAUUCCCUCACUGGGAGGUGCCCCUCCAUCCCUCAGCUCUACUCGGGUCUGAAAGAGCCAUUCCAAUUCCUUUUUUCUGCUUUGAAGCAGAAAAGGGAAGAUGUGGCAAAAAGAAUUUGGGGUCUGCGAACCAGAAAAAUGAAUGCACGGAGAUUCAUCACAACUCGGAAGCCAAACAGCCAGGAAACAGGCUCACAGCCUCUCUGCUAUUCUCUUUGGAUUUGGUUUCUCAUUUGCUGGUGAACCUUUGCAGAGAAGAACUGAAAGAGAGGGUCUCCCCAAAGACGCUAAGUUCUCUAUCACCCCACCCCUGCCACCACCACCACCAGCCUCAUUUCUGGAAGGUUCUAGGUGGUGGCCAUGACACCAGGGAGUGCAGAAGAGCAGUGCACUGGGACAAGAAGGCACAACUCGGCCACUUAGAAUAAGCCUAAUAAAGAACCUUUUCCUGGAGAGUUCCUGUCGCGGCUCAGUGGUAACAAACCCACUAGUAUCCAUGAGGAUGCAGGUUCAAUCCCUGGCCUCACUCAGUGGGUUAAGGAUUUGGCACUGCUGUGGUUGUGGUAUAGGUUGCAGACGCAGCUCGGUUCCCACGUUGCUGUGGCUGUGGUAUAGGCUGGCAGCUGCAGCAGUUCCAAUUCAACCCCUCGCCUGGAAACCACCAUAUGCUGCAGGUGUGGCCCUAAAAAGUAAAAAAAAAAAAAAACUGUCUCAUCUCCACCUGCCCCUGGGUCUCCCAGGUGCUCUGCGGCUGGUGGGGCUGCCCUGCCUGCAAGGCGAGAAUCUGAGAAACCAGGCUCCCAUCACCUCCUAAAGCUCACAAUUCCAUCCAACUAGAAAGCAUGUGCUUGGGGCACACAUCAUACCGAGCAUAUGAAAAGUUAUCUCAUUUUAUCCUCAAAACAAUUCUAUGAGCUGCAUCUUAUUAUCCCAUUAAAGAUAAGGAAACUGAGGCUUAGAGCAGCAAGGUAACUUGCCCAAGGUACACUUCUAGCAAGUGGCUGGCCAAGCCUGGUUUUAAAUCCAGCUCAGACUGAUGCUAAACCCAACUCUUACCUACCAGACUAUACUGUUCAUCACCCUCACUAAUCCCGAGACCUGCUCCCCAUUCUGCACCCAACCUGCCCAACUUUUCUGGCUUCCGAACUCACAGUGGAGCUUGCCUGGCCCCUCUGAUGUGGUAGAGGCAACUUUUCUGUGUGUUAACGUUUUGGCUCUGCAUUGAGCAGCAGUUUGUUAUGUCCACACCCCUCAACGGCUCUGCAAACUCAAAACUACAUCGGGAAAUAACACCGAUCCCGGCCAUGUCUGGUGUGAGCCUUGCUUUGGCC
rnacentral:lncRNA from 1 species